GAUGAACGCUGGCGGCGUGCCUAAUACAUGCAAGUCGAGCGAAGCGGGGACGGGUGAGUAACACGUGGCUAACCUCCUAUAAGACGGGGAUAACAUCGGGAAACCGGAGCUAAACCGCAUACUUAUAGAUGGAUCUGCGCUGCAUUAGCUAGUUGGUCAUGUAACGGCUUACCAAGGCAACGAUGCAUAGCCGCCCUGAGAUGGUAAUCGGCCACCCUGGAACGGAGACACGGUCCAGACUCCUACGGUAGGCAGCAGUGGGGAAUCUUCCGCAAUGGGCGCAAGCCUGACGGAGCAACGCCGCGUGAGGGAUGAAGGUCUUCGGAUCGUAAAACUCUGUUAUUAGGGAAGCGGUACCUAAUCAGAAAGCCACGGCUAACUACGUGCCAGCAGCCGCGGUAAUAC
rnacentral:rRNA from 1 species